UCCAACAGCCUGAAUGUAUCCUUUGUGGUCCUGGCAGGAAAUAGAUGGCACAUCUCAAGGAUUUGACUGAAAAUAAUUGAAGAGUAAAGCUAAGGGGGCCAAAAAAAAAAAAGAUGGUAAAGCACUCAGGGACUAAAAGCAGGAAGCAGGACUACACACCGAGGCCUGAGGAAGAGGAAACAAUGUUCCCGGAGCCUGGUGAGAGCUGCCACCACGAGAGGAGCUGUGUGGCAGGAGCUGUGGCCUCGGACAGUGAACACAGGUACUGCCAGAAUUGUGACAAAGCAGGCAUAAAGCCAGCGAAGAAAUACUCUGAUCCUGCCCUCUUGUCACCUUCCAGGCCCCUGCCAGUACCUCCAAUGUACCAAAAUAAAGCAGAAGCCAGAGAGUAAGGAUUUCAGAUGAGGCAAACAAAAGAGGUCAGCUUCCCGGGCACAGAACUGGUCAAAAUAGGGUGGAAUGAAUCUGACGGAUGUGGUGGACAUAGAAGGGAGCAGCAUGCCAAGCAGACAUAUCUACUUUCCUGUCUACAAAUCCCAUGCUCUUUUCCCUAUAGGCACUACUGAGAUACAGAGUAAACUAUCAUUGUUUGAAAAAACUAGGAAGGAGACUUCAGUCUUAUUGAGAUAUGUAUUUCUGCAGGUUAGGCUGAAGCCUCUGCAUGUCCUGAUGCCUGAUGGAGAUGGAGGAAUCCUUUCUACCCAGACAGAAGUCACACUAUGGAGCCUGUCCUCUUUAGAACUGAAUCCGAUUGGGAUUUCUUCAUGGUCUCCACCCUGGAAAACCAGCUUGAAUUCUUGUAUGCGGGCCAGAUUCCAAGAGACAUCAUAA
rnacentral:lncRNA from 1 species